GCUAGGGACACAUCCAGUUUUGACAUUCAUUGCAAUGUCCAUUGCAUCGCUUUGAGCAUUUUCUUGAAUUUUGAUAGGACAUCACCAAACCUUUGGUGAAUUUGUCGUUAACUGUCGGUCCGGUUUAAAAUAGUCCUCGAUCAGUACCCCUUGCUUGUUGUAAGAGGCGAAUAAAUGGGGCGGUCCUUCAGAUAGGACUGCAAAAACUGAGAUCCUUGUCACAGCAGGUGUAGCACGAUAAAGAUCCCUCAGUGCCAUAAGCGCUGAGCAUAGGCCUAAAUUUUGCAGCCCUUCACCGACAAUGGUAACGUCUUCAUGUGAGUGAUAUAUUCUCAAGAGAGACUUUAGUCAUUAUAUAAUCAAACAAUCAAUCGUACGUUGUCGAUGUUCUUUAAAUAGUGGCAUCGAAUAGCGCUUCAAAAGUUUCAUCGGCAUCCAGUUCGAUUCCAGCAUAAGGAACAACUUCCAAUCCAGUGUUAUGAAGUAUCGUACAUAUUAAGAUAGACAUCAUGAAUAACUUAACCGUAUUACACUGUUAGGAAAUUUCUCGAGAGCCCACGCUUCUGUCAUUUGUCAGCACAUAUAUCAAGGUCAUUUGUGCGUUUGUUGUAGAAAGUCGGGUAAAAAAUUACGGAUAUUUGUAAACACGCGGGUGGAUAUUAUUUUUUGAUGAUAAUAUAAUUUGCAUUUAUUACAAAUAGAAGCGGCGAAUCCGACGAACUAGAUUACAAAUUUGCAUGACCUUAUAUAUAAUAAUAAUAAUACCAUAUUUAUAUAGCACCCUUUUCAUACACUAUGUACGCUCAAAGGUGCUUUACAAUGCAUAUAUACCUUACAAGAGAAUGUUAUACACAUUAAAUACAUAGAAAAUAAAUAAAACAUUAAAAGCUGUACCUAUCCUCAUUGUACAUAUAAAACAUGAAAUCACAAGAUACCAUAAAUAUGCUAGAUAAGAAUAAACAUCAAUUUCAGGGCGUAUUAAAAUAAUAAUAAUAACUAGUGAUCCUAAUUGUUCGCGAACAAUUAGAGGGCUUUCCACCUUCUAGCGCUUUUUCAGUAGUGUUCAAAUACUAAAAGCCCCCCACCCCACCCACCCCCGCAAAAAAAAAAAUAAAAAAAUUUGAUUUGGCUAGAAAAGAAAUUCAAAUUUGUCGCCUAAAUUUGAGUGUUGAAGUGUGUUCAAUGCUUGGUUUCGAAUUAAGUACCCGUCAAAUUUUAGGGAGAAAAGGGGUGUGGGUGUUGGGUAGCCAGCACAUAUGCACAUAUCAGGUAAAAGUGUAAUAAGACUUGUGCAGGUGUUUGGGGUGACUUUGGACCUGUUAGAUGUGAUAUUUGGAGGUGCAAAGAAACCGGAUGUGACAUUUUCCUAGAUUGUUUACUGCUCGUGCAUACUGGGAGUCUACAAGCCUCAUGUUGAUGUUGUGAAGAUGCACUGGAUUUUACCGUGUGUGUUGUGGAUUGUGGAAUUGAAUAUACAGUUUGUAAUUGCUCAUCCUAUGUGUUCUAAUUCACGGAGACAAUGUCUUUCAGUCAUUUCACCCAAGGAGGCAUGCAUACGGAUUUAGGCUUUGAAAAAAACCAGCCAAAAUGGCGGCCGGUGAAUUAGAAAGUGUCUGAGUGCAUGUAGGAUAUCUGAACGGAGAAUAGGAGUACUGCAUCCCAUCUGAUCCUGCAGGCCUGUGAUUUUAUAUACAGCAAGAUUACGACUGAAGUUCCACCAGUUGGAAACAAGUCCUCCAUCACAAACGAGGGAAUAUGUUGCACACAUCGAGCAGUCUCCAGUAUAGCACAGAACAGUGGCCUCAAGGACUUUAGUGUUUCAGGAGAUUCAGCUCAUCACUUCAAAGGGCUUUCACUCUGCUGUUCAGAUGACAAAUACAAUGUGACUUCAUAGGGAUGUGUAGUAUGGCUGUAGAAGUUGUUGUGCCAAGUUUCAUGAAAAUUAAAGAAGACAAGUGACAGUGGGUUUUUUUCCGAAGCCUGGUAGGAAGAAUCUGCCGCUUGACCAGGAUCAUUGUCUGGGUCAUCCGGUCAGUGGUUACCACCUGUACUUCAAGGUCACUCUCAGAGGAGUCCCCACAGCAUCCGUAUUCCAGGUGAUGCAUUGAAAUGCUUAAACCACAUGCCCAGGACUACAAAAGUGCUAUUAUUUAUGACUUGUGUGAUAUGAAGAGUAGAAAUGUCGGAGGAUAGAAGAAUUGUUCUCAGUUCAUCAUUACCUGCUGGUGGAGAUUAGGAGUGUCAGAGGAUAGAAGAAUUGUUCUCAGUUCAUCAUUACCUGCUGGUGGAGAUUAGGAGUGUCGGAGGAUAGAAGAAUUGUUCCCAGUUCAUCAUUACCUGCUGGUGGAGGCUGAACACUUUGAUAAACAUUACUGUUGUCUUGCUGAGAUGUAGCAAUCAGUGUGAGGUUUCAUUUACUGAAAGAAGAGUCGGAGAACUUCCUGGGUCUCAGGAGAUGAUGACAGCCUGACCACAGGAACACUUCCUUCCUCCUACAAGCAGAAAGAGGCUGUCUUACCAUCUGAUUCAUUUCUGGAAAUAGUCUUCCAAAUAGAGUGGGUAAAAUUCUUCCUUUUCACUUAACUUAAGCUAUAUAUUUUUGAUAAAUCCGGUAUAAGCUGAUGUGAAAUUUAUUAUCUCUCCUUCCCAUCCACCCCUUUUUCUGUAAACUUUACGUAUUUCUUGUUUACUCAGGUGACCUAUAAUAAUUGGUCUGCGUCCUUUGUCGUGUGUUAAUAGUCGAAUAUUUUUAACUUUUUGAUAACUACCAUUCAAAUUCUUCUCAAAUUUUAUACCAAGCAUCUUUUGGACAAGGGGGACAUCAGUUGUAAAUUUCAGGAUUCCUGAACCACAGGACCCAAUUUCAACUUAGAACAGACCAUACUUGGAUGAAGGGAUCCAUGAUUGUUCAACUAUAGGGCUUCAACCCAUUCCAAAGGAGAUAGCAAAGAAAUGGCAAAAAUAGGAUUGAGUCGUUUUUGAAUCUUUUCAAGAAGCACUGUUUUACAUAGGGAUAUAUUGGGAAAUCUUUGAAAAUCUUUUCUCAAAAACAAAAAACAAAACAGUAGGACAAUAUAUGAUAUGCAAUCAUUCUAAAGUUGGUAGGGUAAAGUCACAAUAGGGGAUCAACAUUUAGGGCACUUGAAAUUAAUUAUUUGGUUCUCAGGCCAAUUUUCUCAAAACCAGAUGAGGGAGGGAGGCAUUUUGUUUUCAUUUCUAUUAGGCAUGAAAUAGGUGAUGGGGGCUUUUUUGAAAUCUGAAACUUGUUGGAAAAGAAACUUUAAACAUAAAAAGUUCUCUGAAACAUACACUUUGUUGUUCGGUGAUUAAAGCUUUAUACAUAAUUCAGACAUACAGAUUCAGCAAAUAUGGAUGUUUACAUGAAUCUUACAUUAAAUGUUCAUCCAAUACAAUUCUUUUGUGAAGUAAAUUAAAAUUCAAACUGUAACAAACUUGCAAAAACAUCACACGGGCCCUGUUUACAUAACUAAGAAUUGAGAGUGUUGUAUCUCAUUUAAAACUCAAGAAUUGACCAUCCAAAGUUUUACUGACCAUUAGAAAUACCCCAGUUAAACAUAAUAAAUAUUACAAAUGAAAAAAUAAGAUUAGAAAUUUUUAGUCCAAAUAUUGUUUAUGCCCCUUUAAGCAUAAUAUAGUGGUGUUAUUAAGUCAAUUUGUGAUUAAUGUGCGAAUAAAUUUUACAGGGUAUUGGUCACUGGAAGAGUCCCGCUGAUUGACGAGGAAUUGUCCUGAGACUGUGACAUAUUGUAGAGUAGCGGUCACCAGAGAUGUAAGGCUGAUUGAUGAGGGUACUUUUCCUGAGACUCUGUAAAAAUAUCAGAAUUUGGCGUGAAGUGAUUGGUUGUACAGAAAUUUCAAGUUCUCCCAGAUCCAGGGAAACAUGAGGACUAUGGAGUGUCGUGAUGUUAUUGAUGGUCAACAGAAGACUGUGACCUUGAAUCUGAAGAUAUGUGAUGAAGACUGGACGUUUGGGGUCACUCUCUGUUACAGUACUACAAUUCUAACAGUGUUUAACUCAGCCACAAAGAGGUUGUCUCUGAUGUCCACACAUAAACCCCAUGGACUGCGUAAAUGACAGUGAAUGUAACGGAGGAACUGUCCGUCCUGAUCUAGGAUGUGGAUACGGUUAUUGUUAAUGUCUGCUGUCAGGAUGUGACUCUGGCUGUCUGUAGUGAUGCCGACUGGAGUAAAUGAUAGCUUGGUAUUAGAGGGAUGACCAGUGUAUCUAAAUCGGAGUUUUCCUGACUGAUUGACCACCACUACUGCACUAGCGUUAUAGUCAGCCACACAGAUAUCCAGGUUCUUGUUCUCACUGAGGUAUUUACUGUAAUAACCAGAUUUAUAGAGAGGACGACCCUGAUCAUCAAACUGAAUGCUUUGUUUCUCUGUGGAGCCGGAGUAGCGCACGACUUUGGAUUGUUUGUCAUCAUCACUGUACAUGAUAACCAGGAGGUCGUUACCCGCGGUACAGCAGACAUAAAGAGGUAUCCACUCCUGUAGUGUGAUCAUGAUUGAGUUGAGUGGAACAAUGAACCUCCAGAUAUCUAUGUACAUUUACACGUGUAUGAUUAAACUUCUGUUGCACUCGCGCAUGCGAGCUUAUCCUA